ensembl:lncRNA
CCCUCCUCUUUCCCCCUCCAUCAGCCUCUGCCUUGCCCCCUAGCUAUUACUGUUGGUCAACACCUGUCUUGUACCAGCCCUCCAACAAGGUCGCUGUAGUGCAAAUAGGCUGACUGUUGCUGACUGACUGCUGGCUCCUGAUAGGCUCCUCUCGGAAAGGGAAGGCUCGGGUCCCAGGGUCAUUUUCGGAAAGGCGAGGAGACUGUGUUUGGUUUCGCUCCUGGGACCAGUCUGAGAAGAGGAAAGAGAAGCAAAUGAAGAAAAAGAGAGAAACAGUAGCUUUUAACACAGUGUAGACCGGGGGGUUGUUUUAACACAGUGUAGACAGGGGGGUUGUUUUAACACAGUGUAGACAGAGGGUUGUUUUAACACAGUGUAGACAGGGGGUUGUUUUAACACAGUAUAGACAGGGGGUUGUUUUAACACAGUGUAGACAGGGGGUUGUUUUAACACAGUGUAGACAGAGGGUUGUUUUAACACAGUCUAGACAGGGGGCUGUUUUAACACAGUUGUGUGAGUUGUGGCUUAUGAACUUCUACUUCUGGUAGGUUCUUAUCUCGGGCUCCUGAUUGGCUCAUUGCGGUCUAAGGCACUGCAUCUCUGGUGCUACAGGCGUCACUACAGACCCUGGUUCGAUUCCAGGCUGUAUCCACCACCGGCCGUGAUUGGGAGUCCCAUAAGGCAUAACACAAUUGGCUGUCUGCGUUUUGCCGGGGAUAGGCUGUCAUUGUAAAUAUGAAUUUGUUCUUCACUGACUUGUCUAGUUAAAUAAAGCUUAAUAAAUAAAAUAAAGUACCAGGAGAGUGAGCACUGCCAUUGAUUAGAGCACACACACACACAGCCCCCCUCGCUAUGACCUGAGUUGAAAACAGUGUAAAAUGGAGAGAUAAAGGAAUCAGGGGAGAAAAUAGUCUUUCAACGAUACAGCCCUGUUGUUCUUUUUAUGGGAAAUAAUAAAAUAGCCCCUCAAGGGGGGGGAUUGUUGUAAACUUGUUGGAAGAAGCAGGUUGCAAUGUUAACAAUGGUAUAUUUAUGAGCAACAACUUCUUGGAGUGUCUUUUUUAAAAAUGUUAUCAGGGAGACUAAUAUCAAGUCAAUUUGAUCCCGAGGCAGGAACAUUGGACAACUAUUUAGGGCUAGAAACAAAGUGUAUUUAUUAUAAUCUAUGGCAGUGCUCACAGUGAAGUAUCGCUAUUAGCCACAAAGCCAGCAGUCUCUCUAAUGGGUUAUAAAUGAGAAGAACACAGUUUGAAAUGUGAAUCACAGUGAUGCAUGAAAUAAGCUAAUUUCCAUAUAUAUGUAGCUCAGGGAUUCUUGAAAGACGGGGACAUGAACCCCCCCCCCCAAAAAAAAUCACCAAUCAUUUUCUU